CGUAACAAUGCAAUUUAAGUUGUACGGUACUUGGGCUCUGUCAUUCUCUUUUUCUCACCGACAUCUUGAUUAAUUUUAUGAUCUAUGGGGUCAUUCUUCUUUUCUCCUCCUUAAUUGCUUUUGGUUUUCUUCUUUUUGUUUUAUCUAUCUGUUAACACCAAAAGAAAAAAGAAACAAAUCUUCAAUUAUUAUGAAUGAAAAUGGAAAAAGACUGAGAAUUUUUAGAAGAAGUGCAAUCUGAGUGCUGCGGGUUAUGAAUUUACCCCACUCAUUAGAAGGGAAUUUAAAGAGUUUUAUAUGAGGGUUAGACCUUUCUCCUUCAACAGAACCAGCAGCCUCUCAACAGACAACAGUCGUCAUAGUUUGUAUAUCUAUGACAGAAGUUGACUACUUGGUUGUCGCUUUAUUUCUUGAAGUCCUACCAUUCUAUGCUUUUUCAUUUGCAGUACCCGUUUUAUAUAUGAACUGUAAUCACCCAUUUUCUUCUUAAGCAUGGGAAACCUGUUUUGCUGGUUUAUCUUCUUUUCGUGGAGGUCGUUUCAUGAUGGCAGACAUAUAAUCGCAUUUCAACUUAUUAGAG
rnacentral:lncRNA from 1 species